AGUAACACGUGGACAACCUACCCUUGGGUUCGGCAUAAUCCUGGGAAACUGGGGAUAAUUCCGGAUAGGUCACAGAUGCUGGAAUGCACUGUGGCUCAAAGCUCCGGCGCCCAAGGAUGGGUCUGCGGCCUAUCAGGGUUGUAGUGGGUGUAAUGUACCUACUAGCCUACGACGGGUACGGGUUGUGAGAGCAAGAGCCCGGAGAUGGAUUCUGAGACACGAAUCCAAGCCCUACGGGGUGCAGCAGGCGCGAAAACUUUACAAUGCGGGAAACCGUGAUAAGGGAAUCUCGAGUGCCAGCAUAUAAUGUUGGCUGUCCAGAUGCCUAAAAAGCAUCUGUUAGCAAGGGCCGGGCAAGACCGGUGCCAGCCGCCGCGGUAACACCGGCGGCCCGAGUGGUAACCGCUAUUAUUGGGUCUAAAGGGUCUGUAGCCGGCCAGGUAAGUCCCUUGGGAAAUCUGGCAGCUCAACUGUCAGGCUGCUAGGGGAUACUGUUUGGCUUGGGACCGGGAGAGGUGAGAGGUACCUUGGGGGUAGGGGUGAAAUCUUGUGAUCCUCGGGGGACCACCAGUGGCGAAGGCGUCUCACCAGAACGGGUCCGACGGUAAGGGACGAAAGCUAGGGGCACGAACCGGAUUAGAUACCCGGGUAGUCCUAGCCGUAAACGAUGCUCGCUAGGUGUCAGUCACGGUGCGACCGUGAUUGGUG
rnacentral:rRNA from 1 species